rnacentral:rRNA from 1 species
CUACGGAGGGUGCAAGCAUUAAUCGGAUUUAUUGGGCGUAAAGGGCGUCUAGGUGGGGAUAUAAGUCAGACGUGAAAUCCCGGAGCUCAACUCCGGAACUGCGUUUGAAACUGUAUCUCUUGAGGGUAGGCGGGGGAAACGGAAUUCCACGUGUAGCGGUGAAAUGCGUAGAUAUGUGGAAGAACACCGGUGGCGAAGGCGGUUUCCUAGCUUAUUCCUGACACUCAAGCGCGAAAGCAAGGGGAGCAAACAGGAUUAGAAACCCCGGUAGUCC